rnacentral:rRNA from 1 species
UACGUAGGUGGCAAGCGUUGUCCGGAAUCACUGGGCGUAAAGCGCGCGCAGGCGGCGAUCUACGUCUGGGGUGAAAGCCCGGAGCUCAACUCCGGGACUGCCUUGGAUACGGGAUCGCUUGAGGAUUGGAGAGGCAAGGGGAAUUCCACGUGUAGCGGUGAAAUGCGUAGAUAUGUGGAGGAACACCUGUGGCGAAGGCUCCUUGCUGGCCAAUUUCUGACGCUGAGGCGCGAAAGCGUGGGGAGCAAACAGG